rnacentral:rRNA from 1 species
GACUAAGCGCACAUGGUGGAUGCCUUGGCGGCAGAAGGCGAUGAAGGACGUGGUAGCCUGCGAUAAGCCUCGGGGAGCCGGCAAACUGGCUUUGAUCCGGGGAUUUCCGAAUGGGGAAACCCACCGCUUCGGCGGUAUCACGAGCUGAAUCCAUAGGCUCGUGAAGCAAACCCGGUGAAUUGAAACAUCUCAGUAACCGGAGGAACAGAAAUCAACCGAGAUUCCCCCAGUAGUGGCGAGCGAACGGGGAACAGCCCAGUCACGAUCAGUCGGUGGAACCUAGCAGAACGGGAUGGAAAGCCCGGCCAUAGACGGUGAUAGCCCGGUACGCGAAAGGGAAAGCCGAUGAGUGACGAAGAGUAGGGCGGGACACGUGCAAUCCUGUCUGAACAUGGGGGGACCAUCCUCCAAGGCUAAAUACUCUCUGCCGACCGAUAGUGAACCAGUACCGUGAGGGAAAGGCGAAAAGAACCCCGGAGAGGGGAGUGAAAUAGAACCUGAAACCGUGUGCGUACAAGCAGUCGGAGCCCCGCAAGGGGUGACGGCGUACCUUUUGUAUAAUGGGUCAGCGAGUUACUUUCAGUGGCAAGCCUAACCGUAUAGGGGAGGCGUAGGGAAACCGAGUCUUAGUCGGGCGCCAAGUCGCUGGGAGUAGACCCGAAGCCAGUCGAUCUAUCCAUGUCCAGGGUGAAGGCAGGGUAAUACCUGCUGGAGGCCCGAACGAACUGCUGUUGCAAAAGUAGUCGAUGAGGUGUGGAUCGGAGUGAAAGGCUAAUCAAGGCUGGCGAUAGCUGGUUCUCCCCGAAAGAUAUUUAGGUAUCGCCUCGAGUAUUACUCCCGGGGGUAGAGCUCUGUUCAGGCUAGGGGGACAUCCCGUCCUACCAAACCUGUGCAAACUGCGAAUACCGGGAAGUAGCAGCUCGGGAGGCACACGGCGGGUGCUAACGUCCGUCGUGAAGAGGGAAAUAACCCAGACCACCAGCUAAGGUCCCCAAGUUGCGGCUAAGUGGGAAAGGAUGUGGGAAGUCACAGACAGCCAGGAGGUUGGCUUAGAAGCAGCCAUCCUUUAAAGAAAGCGUAAUAGCUCACUGGUCUAGUCCGCCUGCGCCGAAGAUUUCGCGGGGCUCAAGCCGUGCACCGAAGCUGUGGAUCCGGCCGCAAGGCCGGGUGGUAGGGGAGCGUUCCGUACGCCUGUGAAGGUGUGUCGCGAGGCACGCUGGAGGUAUCGGAAGUGCGAAUGCUGACAUGAGUAACGUUAAAACGGGUGAAAAACCCGUUCGCCGAAAACCCAAGGUUUCCUGCUCAACGUUAAUCGGAGCAGGGUGAGUCGGCACCUAAGGCGAGGCCGAAAGGCGUAGUCGAUGGCAAGCAGGUCAACAUUCCUGCACCAGGUGCUGCUGCGAUGGGGUGACGGAGAAGGCUAGGCCGGCCGGGAUCGGAUUGCCCGGUUCAAGCGUGUAGGGAGGAUCUCCAGGAAAAUCCGGAGGUCCGCUAAUCCCGAGGCGUGAUGACGAGGUCCUUCGGGACUGAAGUGGUUGAUGCCCGGCUCCCGGGAAAAGCCUCUAAGCUUCAGGCAGCAACUGGCCGUACCGUAAACCGACACUGGUGGGUGAGGAGAAAAUCCUAAGGCGCUUGAGAGAACUCGGGUUAAGGAACUCUGCAAGUUGACACCGUAACUUCGGGAGAAGGUGUGCCUCUUUUGGUGAAGGGACUUGCUCCCCGAGCUGAGAGAGGUCGCAGGUAAUCGGGGGCUGCGACUGUUUACCAAAAACACAGGACUCUGCUAACACGCAAGUGGAUGUAUAGGGUCUGACGCCUGCCCGGUGCCGGAAGGUUAAGUGAUGAGGUCAGCGCAAGCGAAGCUUCUGAUCGAAGCCCCGGUAAACGGCGGCCGUAACUAUAACGGUCCUAAGGUUAGGAAACGCUAGCCUUAGUAAAAUCGAACCAAAUGCGGGAAACUCCUCUACAGCCGUGCGGUACUCGCGGGCACCCGGGCAACCGGAUGCCGGCAGUAAAAAUCCGCCGGACAUGGGGACAAUCCGCAGGGAAGGCCCGGUGUGAGCCGGGAACCCUCAGAGACUUUACGUUCGAGGACUCUUUAUGAAACUCGAUGCCCAGUGGGUAACCGGUUUUGUCGACGGAGAGGGCUGUUUUCACGUGGGUCUGAGCCGGCAUCGCGAGAUGCGGGCAGGGGUCCAGGUGCUGCCAGAAUUCACCGUUGUCCAACACCGGCGCGACAUUCAGGUGCUGCAUGCGCUCAAGGCGUACUUCGGUUGUGGAGUGGUUCGCGUGAAUCACGGCGACCGGAUGGCGUUUCGAGUGCGCAAGAUGGAGGAUCUGAAUCAGCGCAUCGUGCCCUUCUUUUCCGCGCAUCCGCUCAGGACGAGGAAGCACGUGGACUUCAUCAAGUUCCGUCGCGUGCUGAAUCUGAUGAGUAAGGGUGCUCACCUGGCGAGCGAAGGCGUGGAGCAGAUCCGCGUGAUCGCCUCCCAGAUGAACCGCGGAGCGAGGGAACACGACUGCCUGCCAACGGGCGAGAGUGGAGAGAGUUCAAGAUAAAGUCCGGCUUCGGCGGAAACGUCGAGGAUGAAUCCGAGCGAAAUUCCUUGUCGGGUAAGUAACAUUGCCCGGGGCGGUGGUGACACCGUCUCAUUCAACCGGCUCAAAUCGGUGAAGCCCUAAUGACGCUCAUGCAGGGGUGUCAAGGGUAAUACCGAGGGUAAGAACAUCGAAAUGGAUGUUCCCUGUAACGACUCAGGGCGUGAGAAUCCCUGGAUGUGCUUCUUGAAGUGCAUAACACGCCGGCCCUGAUCCUUGCUUGAUGAAUCCAUCGGGCAAGCGGAAAUAUUCCGGGAGCGAGAUUCUCGACUCGCUCCGGUCAGGUGAACGUAUAGUCUGUGCCACGGGAAACCGUGGAGAUCAUGAAGUUCCGACCUGCACGAAUGGCGUAACGAUAGCCCCACUGUCUCGACCCGAGACUCAGUGAAGUUGAAAUCGCUGUGAAGAUGCGGCGUUCCCGCGGCAAGACGGAAAGACCCCGUGAACCUUUACUGUAGCUUUACGCUGAACUUUGAACUUGCCUGUGUAGCAUAGCUGGGAGGCUUUGAAGCCAGGGCGCUAGCCUUGGUGGAGCCAACGUUGAAAUACCAGCCUGGCACGUUCGGAGUUCUAACCUGGGCCCGUAAUCCGGGCCGGGGACAGCGUAUGGUGGGCAGUUUGACUGGGGCGGUCUCCUCCCAAAGAGUAACGGAGGAGUGCAAAGGUACCCUCAGCGCGGUCGGUCAUCGCGCACAGAGUGCAAUGGCACAAGGGUGCUUGACUGCGAGACGGACAGGUCGAGCAGGUGCGAAAGCAGGUCAUAGUGAUCCGGUGGUUCUGUAUGGAAGGGCCAUCGCUUAACGGAUAAAAGGUACUCCGGGGAUAACAGGCUUAUUCCUCCCAAGAGUCCACAUCGACGGAGGAGUUUGGCACCUCGAUGUCGGCUCAUCACAUCCUGGGGCUGUAGCAGGUCCCAAGGGUUCGGCUGUUCGCCGAUUAAAGUGGUACGCGAGCUGGGUUCAGAACGUAGACAACACUGCGUUGCCAGGGAGUAAUCCCUGGAACAAUUUAACUGGCUCAUAUCGGUGGAGCCCUCCUGGAGUGGCGAACGACUCCAAAGGGUAAUACCGAGGGAAGGCGGGUAACGAUGGACGCUACGAUCCUUGCAUAUAUCGCAGGGUUCCUGGAUGGCGACGGCAGUAUUUUCUUUCAGCUGGUCAGGCGGAAGGAUUACUGCUUUGGAUUCCAGAUCAGAACGUCGCUGGCUUUCUACCAGAAGACCGAGAAUGAACGGAUUCUCCUCUGGCUGAAGCAGCAGUUCACAUCCGGAUACAUACGUCGUCGCAAGACCGGAAUCAGCGAUUACAUGAUCGUAGAGCCCGGGGAAGUCCGCAGGAUUCUUGAGCUCUUGCAGCCCUACGUGCGCUUGAAGAAGGAGCACGUCGGGUUGAGCCUCGAGAUCCUGAGGAAGCUUCCUCAGGCCGAUGAUGUGGCGGAACUUGUUUCGUUGUGUCAUCUGGUCGAUCGAUUUCGGGAAAUCAACUAUUCGAAGAAGCGGACCAUCACUUCGACGGUAGUUGUCGACUUCCUGAAAUCACAUGGUUAUCUUGCCCCUGUAGAGACUGAUCCAAUUCAGGAGAGAGUCGUCGGACAUCUGGCGGCUAACACGCCAGUCGCCUCUGCGGCAAGCAGAGGAUGAAGGUAUAGUCCAUGCCACCCGAAAUGGUGGAAUAGAUUCCGGAAACUUCCGGUAUCGACAUGCGUGAGACAGUUCGGUCCCUAUCUGCCGUGGGCGUUGGAGAUUUGAGGGUGAGCUGCUCCUAGUACGAGAGGACCGGAGUGGACGCGCCUCUGGUGUUCCGGUUGUCACGCCAGUGGCACUGCCGGGUAGCUAUGCGCGGACGGGAUAACCGCUGAAAGCAUCUAAGCGGGAAGCCCCCCCCAAGAUGAGAUCUCCCUGAGGACUUGAUCCUCCUGAAGGGCCGUCGAAGACUACGACGUUGAUAGGCUGGGUGUGUACACGCAGUAAUGCGUUCAGCUAACCAGUACUAAUUGCCCGUGAGGCUUGACCAUAUAACACCCAAGGAG